UACCAGAGUGGAUCCACAACUGCGAAUCACUUCAAGUGCUUGAAAUUUGUGGAUGCUCCAGAUUGGCAUCACUCCCCGAAGGAAUGCGUAGGCUAACGUCUUUGCAGAAGCUAACAAUUGUAGAUUGUCCCAUCCUAUUGCAAAGAUGCAAGAGACACACAGGUGAGGAUUGGCCCAAGAUCGCUCACAUUCCAGAGUUAGACUUACAGUAUCCACCUCAGCAAGAAGAAAAUUUGAUCACCCAUGUACUUUCGACUGAUUCAGAUGCAGAAGCGGUAUAACAAAUUGAAGCAUAGGCGAAACAGGGGAUUGGAAGGUUGUUAAAAAAAUAUAGGGCACUGCAUACGUGAUUCUUCACAUUUUAGGAGAAAUAGUUGAGUGAAAACUAGCACUUGAUGAACUCGAGCAAAUAUUUUACGGAAGAUCCAAUCUGUAAACAACACUCGGAGAACAGCCUUGCUGCACUGGUUUCUCAUGAGAAUUCAGGGGCUUCUUGAAUCAAAACAGAGUGAUGUCAUUUUCUUGGGAGGGUCAAAUUUGGCAAUUGAAUGAGUACUCAAAGAGGAAAUGCCAUGUACAAAAGCAGCCUAAAUCAAGGAAUGAACCAUAAAUCAAGGAGAACGUAGCUAGUUCUUGGAUAUGAUUCCUUGUGAAGCAUAGGUUCACGUUUAAAUAUUGUGAAUCAAUAUUGUGUUAAUUUUUCUCAAUAUGCUUGUAAAACAAAUUCUCAAUUAUUUUCAUCUUAUGCUUUUCCAACUGCAAUAAUUUUAAUAAUGAACAACUACUAGACAUGUGAAUUGAUCAUUUCAGCAAGUUUGUGAAGUUCUUAUUUUCAUUAGCUUUCCCUUUUGUGUGAAAUCCAAACAUGGAAGAGAAUGAAUUGGUGAUAAAGGCCUUUAAUUAGUUCAUGUAAUAAGAACAUGAGUUGUUGAUAUUAGACUGAUUAAUUAGCUGUU